GACCAUAUGGCCAUCCAACAAAGAAGGGAUUGUGUCUGCGGGGAGGGGGAGAGUGGAGAGUGCAACCCGAGACCGAGAGAGGGACAGAGGGUGGAAGCUUUGGCAGCAAGCCGGCGACGACCAGCGGCGGAGCGGGAGGGGAGGUUGUGCUGUGUGUGUGAGGGUGGCUGCCGGCUGCGAUCGAGCUGCGGCAGGCGGCCGGAGCAGAUGGCUGAGGAGUGGAGGCUUUGGAGCCACCGGAGGCAGCGGCGCCGCUGGCUUCCUCAACCCCUACGCCGGCCGUCUUCCUCCGCUGCGCUCGCGGACAGAUGGGCGGCAUCGAGCACCGCCGACGACGGCGGCGGCGGCGGCGGCAGCGGCGGAGUGUUCGUGUCAUGGCUUCCAAGAAGCGUGAGGAUGGCGGAUACCCACUUGGCACGUGCAAGGAUUGCGGUGGUAAAAUCGCUCUCAACCGAGACCACGAAUGCCAAAAGACGAAGACGGAAAUCGCCAAGGGCGCGAAGAAGGCGAAGGACAAACACGAGCGGACCAAUACCAAGCUCAAGAAGAAGCACAAUUAGGGCAAUAUGAUAAGGCUUGUCCAGUCUGAAGGAGAUCAAGCAGCAGAACUGAAGUGUCAUCUUAUAGUACUCCAUAUACUAGUAGUAGUAGUAAGGAACACUAGUAGUACUCAUCAGGCUUCGUUUAAGAAAGCAUGUCUUCGUAUUGAUUAGAUGUUUUGAUGCCUGAACUUAAGAAAGGCAACUUUUGUGGUCCUGUGCAGAGACCAAAUAUAUUGCUGAUGUGAUGGCACUUAUCUGCAUCUGGUUUUAGUAUGUAGAAGUGCUUUAGUUUGGAAUAUACAGUUGAGAUGAAUUUGAUUGCA